rnacentral:lncRNA from 1 species
CUGGAUUCUCGUUGGCUUGGACCAGGUUUUCGGGAGGGAAUCUGUAUGGAUGAAUGCGCACUGGGGCAAUGCUGAAUGACCCCACACAAACGAUAGCUAGUAAAAUUAAUAGGCUGCUAAGGCAUAAAGACAUGCCGGACUUCUUAAAAGUAAGACAAGUGCCUAACCCUGCUUGACCAAGGCUUUUUGGGUAUGCUAAAACCCACAAGUCUCCGAUAACAUUCAGACCAAUAGUGGAAAAGUUCCGAGCGCCCAUGUAUUACCUAGAAAAAGCAAUAGCUUCAUGGAUUGCUGGAGUAAUAAAUCCGUAUGAUCACACUGUGCCAUCCUCGAAAGUAUUCUUAGAAAAGAUCAACAGAAUGCCCGUCUUAGAUAAUGAGAUAAUUGCGGUGUAUGAUUUUGAAAAACUCUACCUGUCCAUCAGCAUUGCCCCAGUGUGCAUUCAUCUAUACAGAUUCUUUCUUGAAAGUUUGGUCCAGGCUAGCGAGAGUCCAGCGUUGUUUAGGGAUUUAACGGAC